AAAAUAAGGACCUACUUUCAUCUUUACCUCUCUGCCACCCACCCCGACUCUUCAUCUUAGUAAUGUGUGGGAGAUAUGGUAUCUCCCCAAACAGCAAGAGGCAGUCUUCAGCUGACGUGCCCUCGUGUGUGGAACAAAGACAAGCCAUCGUUGCUGUGCCCUAUCAGAAUCCCUGACUCACAGAAUCUGGAGUGGAGGAGGAGAAAGUAAAGAAAAGCAAGGAAGGAGGGAGAAUGAAAAAGUGCUGGGAGGAAGAAGGAGAAACGAGAGAGAAGAGGUGGAGAACAGGACAGAAAAAGAGGAGAGGCAAAGAAGGAGGGAAAUGAGAAAAUUAUUUGAAAUCUGACUCUUGUUGAACUAUGCUGUUGUUGGACAGAUUAUCUAAAGGAGUUAUUACAUAUUUAAUCAAGCAUGGCUAAUUUGACUAUGCUGUUUAUGUCUUGUCAAAUGUCUCCACUGUGUUUCAUGUCUCACUUUAUGAUUGGGAGAUUCUGAAGUUGGCAAUGUCUACAAUUCCAGUAAUGUUGAAUGUCUAAAUGCUUAGCAUCUGAGUUCCUUGGCCAUCUCUGAACUGCGAGUUGCCUGAGAAAAUGUGAACAUUUUUGUCUGAGAAUGAAUAAUGUUAAUUUGACUCUCAGAGGAAACAUAAUUCUAAAAAGAUUGAGGACUAUUCAUCUAAAUGUGUGUAUUCAAUUUAGAGUUUAUACCCCAGGGGGUGUGUGUGAUUCAGUGAAGACAGGUAGGAAAACAUUUUUAUCAUUUCAAAAGCUCUGUUUGUGUGUAAUUUUAU
rnacentral:lncRNA from 10 species